rnacentral:rRNA from 1 species
CACGUAGGGCGCAAGCGUUGUCCGGAAUUAUUGGACGUAAAGAGCUCGUAGGCGGACUGUCACGUCCGCUGUGAAAAGCUAGGGCUUAACCCUGGCCUUGCAGUGGAUACGGGCAGACUAGAGGUAGGUAGGGGAGAAUGGAAUUCCUGGUGUAGCGGUGAAAUGCGCAGAUAUCAGGAGGAACACCGAUGGCGAAGGCAGGUCUCUGGGCAUUAACUGACGCUGAGGAGCGAAAGCAUGGGGAGCGAACAGG